GGGCGAGUAGCUCAGCUGGGAGAGCGCCGGCGUCGCAUGCCGGAGGUCGCGAGUUCGAUCCUCGUUUCGUCCA
rnacentral:tRNA from 1 species